AUGGCCCCCCCAGCCCACCUGGAUCUCCUCCACAUCAGCGAUCCAUGCCCGGGCCUUGGCCAGCGCCUCCUUCAGCGCCUGGAUGUUGGGCAGCAGCGCCGGGAUGUUCUCGGCCUCCUUGAUGAUGGCGGCCAGCGUGGCCGGGGGGUGCUUCUGCCUGGCCUCCAGGUAGGCGCGAGGCGACGCCGGCUCUGCCUUGGCCUCGGGCCCUGCCGGCUCGUCCUUCACCACCACCGUGGGGGGGCACUCGGGGCCCUCCUUGUCUGGGGAGGGGGCGCGGGGGCUCAGGGGCGCCCCACGCCCCCCCCGGGCCCCGCCAGGGCCCCCCCGCCGCUCACCUUUCUUCCGCAGCGUCUUGUCUUUGGCCACCAGCCCCAGGCCCAGCAUUUUAGGGCCGGCCCCGUAGAUCUGCAGCUUCUUCAGCUCCGGGUUCUUCUCGAUGUCCUCCUCCGUGGGCUCCGGCUGCGCGACGGGGCAGGGGGUCAGGGCCUGCGCACCCGCAGGGGCAGGGCCCCGCGCCCCGCGGCGGCCGCUCACCUCCUGCUGCAGGCGCUUGGCCCGGCGCCCGUAGCUGUUGAACUUGGAGGGCUGCACGGACUGGCGCAGCGGGAUGCUGUGGGGCUUGUACUCCUUGUCCUUCUCCUCGCUCUCGAAGGGCCGCGUGUUGCACUGCUGGCGGCAGGGGGGGCGUCAGCGGGGCAGCAGCGGGGCGGGGGGUCCCCACACACCCCCCCCGGCACCCCCGUCUCACCACCAGGUUGGCGCCGGACUGGUACAUCUCGUAGGGGUAGAUGAUGCGCUCGUAGUGGGCGCGCAGCAGCGAGCCGAUGUUCUUGCCCGAGGGGUAGGCCAGGCGCUGGGCCACCCGCGCCCACCGCCGGUCCUUGCAGAUGGCCUCGUAGCCCCCUUCCUCCAUCACCACCUGUGGCGGGGGGGGAGGGAGGUGCUGAGCCGCUCGUGGACGGACGGACAGACGGACGGACACCCAUGCCCCCCCGCGCGCCACCGCACCUUGCUGAGGCUGUAGAGGUCGAGGAUCCGCCGCUCCACGUUGGGGAUCUUCAGCGAGGAGCCCUGGAUCUCCCAGAAC
rnacentral:lncRNA from 1 species